GUCACUGUGUGAGGAAAGUGGGGCGCCAUCCUCACCCCUGCACAGCGGCGGCGACUCCUCUAGCUCCCAAUGCAAAAGCGUUUAAAGAUGCAGCUCAGAAGCAUCACCAGCAGCACAAGGGGAGGUCCCAAGAACCAGAACUUACAUCACUGCCUCCGAGUUCAGAGGUUUCCUUUCCCACCUUCUCAGAACUUUCUGUUUCCAUGGCCUCCUCUGCCACCUCUGCCACCUCCCCUGAUGUGCUGGCCUCCGUCUCCAUCGCCUCCUCAUGGCCGUCUUCCGCCCGGUGUUCCAAGCCCACUGCAGUCGAAGCAAACGUGAUUGCGUUACCACUCAGAAGGUGGCACAGGGACUGGCAGCGGUGCCAUCUGGGAGUCUGUGUGCUCAGCCUCCGAGUGCAGGCUUCCCCGGCCCCUGCUGUGGUGCUAGGUCCCCAGAUGAGAGAUCACGGUCAUGAAGAUCAGCCCCCAAGGCAGCCCCUUCCUUCCAGCCUGGGCUCUGGCGUGUUCUAGGUGCUCACUUCCAUGGCUGGCCUGCUCACAGAGCUCUACCUCAGCCUGUGGUAAGCGCACCUGCUCGGCCCUGGUGCUCUAUGAUGAGCCACCAGUCAGUUCUGCAGAUGUGUCCCCGAGCUCCUGCCGAGGGACGAAACACGGUGGCCCUGCUCCUAGUGCCAUGUGCACGCCACGCUCCACACCUGCCAUCUGCCCUUCCACCACCUGCUCCCCCAGGGGCUCCGCCUCGUGACUCACGCUCAGGCAAGUCUCCGGGCGCGAACAGCUGGCUGAUGGUGACAUGCUGCAGCCUGGUCACAUCAGAAACCAUGAGGGUGGAUCUCCGGAGGUCAUCGAUGUGGACAGACUGCCACAGCCCUGUGAAGAGUGAAGCCACCCACAACUGUCUUUGUGUCUUUCCCGGCUGCUGCUCAGCCCUAAGCAGGGACAUUGCACACCCUGGCUUGUCAUUAUCUUGCUGCGCAAUGAAUGACUGGCACCCUGAAGCCGAAACCCUGGAAUGGGCCUGCGCAGAAACCACCCAACCCGAUACUAUACACGACCCGAUUCUAUGCCCAUCGACAGCUUCACCAUAAGCAGCAACGGUAAGACCUGCAAUGGCCAGCGUGGGAAGGACGCAUGGAUAAGGCCUGUGGUUCUUUCACCCAUGCAUUGUUGUAUUUGCUGUAUCACAGUUAGUGAGGGGUGGGGGACACUGGCAAGGUCUGCCUUCCAUUCUCCACGAAAUUAUUCAAGUAAACUUACUUUCCUGUUUCUGGAAUACCAACUUUUCUAUGUCAUAAAUAGCUGGUGACCAUUCCUUGGAAAAAAAGAGAUCUGAAGAUAGUCCGACCCCCGCCACUCUCCCUCCCCGCCAAACAGGCGUAUCGGUGCGUUCCUGACAGUGUCUGUCGGGAGUCGGGAGUCUCCACGCCGUGUGACCUACAUGCUAAGAGGUGAGGAGCUUGCCUAGAGUCAGUCCAGGAGAGGUGCACGCAGCCUCCCAUCCCAGGAUUCAUGUUUUCAUGGUAAUCAGUGGUAAGAAAUCUAAUUGCAUCUGGAAAGAAUCCUCUUGAGGUUAACAAUAAUAUUCUAAUUUCAGACUGUACAACACAGAACCAAAUGAGAAACAGUUCCAACAUGACUUAAAUAAAUACACUGACUGGGCUGGGUGCGGUGGCUCACACCUGUAAUCCCAGCACUUUGGGAGGCUGGGGCGAGCGGAUCAUGAGGUCAACGGAUUGAGACCAUCUAGGCCAACGUGGUGAAACCCCGUCACUACUAAACAUACAAAAAUUAGCUGGGCAUGGUGGCGCACGCCUGUAAUGCCAGCUACUUGGGAGGCUGAGGCAGGAGAAUCGCUUGAACCCAGGAGAUUGAGGUUGUAGUGAGCUGAGAUCGCGCCACUGCACUCCAGCCUGGUGACAGAGCAAGACUCCAUCUCAAAAAAUAAAUAGAUACAAAUAAAUAAAUAAAUACAU
ensembl:lncRNA RNF213-AS1 RNF213 antisense RNA 1